GAAUGCUGACAUAAGUAACGAUAAAGCGGGUGAAAAGCCCGCUCGCCGGAAGACCAAGGGUUCCUGUCCAACGUUAAUCGGGGCAGGGUGAGUCGACCCCUAAGGCGAGGCCGAAAGGCGUAGUCGAUGGGAAACAGGUUAAUAUUCCUGUACUUGGUGUUACUGCGAAGGGGGGACGGAGAAGGCUAUGUUGGCCGGGCGACGGUUGUCCCGGUUUAAGCGUGUAGGCUGGUUUUCCAGGCAAAUCCGGAAAAUCAAGGCUGAGGCGUGAUGACGAGGCACUACGGUGCUGAAGCAACAAAUGCCCUGCUUCCAGGAAAAGCCUCUAAGCAUCAGGUAACAUCAAAUCGUACCCCAAACCGACACAGGUGGUCAGGUAGAGAAUACCAAGGCGCUUGAGAGAACUCGGGUGAAGGAACUAGGCAAAAUGGUGCCGUAACUUCGGGAGAAGGCACGCUGAUAUGUAGGUGAAGCGACUUGCUCGUGGAGCUGA
rnacentral:rRNA from 1 species